CUACGGGAGGCAGCAGUGGGGAAUAUUGCGCAAUGGGCGAAAGCCUGACGCAGCAACGCCGUGUGAGGGAUGAAGGCUUUCGGGUCGUAAACCUCUGUCGGAAGGGAAGAACGGGCAUUGGUCUAAUAGGCCUUUGUUUUAACGGUACCUUUAGAGGAAGCACCGGCUAACUCCGUGCCAGCAGCCGCGGUAAUACGGAGGGUGCAAGCGUUAUUCGGAAUUACUGGGCGUAAAGCGCACGUAGGCCGCUUUGUAAGUCAGGGGUGAAAUCCCACGGCUCAACCGUGGAACUGCCCUUGAAACUGCAGAGCUUGAAUCCUGGAGAGGGUGGCGGAAUUCCUGGUGUAGGAGUGAAAUCCGUAGAUAUCAGGAGGAACACCGGUGGCGAAGGCGGCCACCUGGACAGGCAUUGACGCUGAGGUGCGAAAGUGUGGGGAGCAAACAGGAUUAGAUACCCCUGGUAGUCCACACCGUAAACGAUGGAUACUAGGUGCCGGACC
rnacentral:rRNA from 1 species